rnacentral:rRNA from 1 species
AGUGAACGCUGGCGGUAGGCCUAACACAUGCAAGUCGAACGGCAGUACAGUAAGAUCUUGCUCUUACGGGUGGCGAGUGGCGGACGGGUGAGGAAUACAUCGGAAUCUACUUUUUCGUGGGGGAUAACGUAGGGAAACUUACGCUAAUACCGCAUACGACCUACGGGUGAAAGCAGGGGAUCUUCGGACCUUGCGCGAUUGAAUGAGCCGAUGUCGGAUUAGCUAGUUGGCGGGGUAAAGGCCCACCAAGGCGACGAUCCGUAGCUGGUCUGAGAGGAUGAUCAGCCACACUGGAACUGGGACACGGUCCAGACUCCUACGGGAGGCAGCAGUGGGGAAUAUUGGACAAUGGGCGCGAGCAUGAUCCAGCCAUACCGCGUGGGUGAAGAAGGCCUUCGGGUUGUAAAGCCCUUUUGUUGGGAGAGAAAAGCAGCAGGUUAAGACCCCGCUGUUCUGACGGUACCCAAAGAAUAAGCACCGGCUAACUUCGUG